rnacentral:rRNA from 1 species
UACGGAGGGUCCAAGCGUUAUCCGGAAUCAUUGGGUUUAAAGGGUCCGCAGGCGGAUUGAUAAGUCAGAGGUGAAAUCCCGCAGCUUAACUGUGGAACUGCCUUUGAUACUGGUUGACUUGAGUUAUAUGGAAGUAGAUAGAAUGUGUAGUGUAGCGGUGAAAUGCAUAGAUAUUACACAGAAUACCGAUUGCGAAGGCAGUCUACUACGUAUAUACUGACGCUCAUGGACGAAAGCGUGGGGAGCGAACAGG